UCGGGUGCACAGAAAUGCCCCCGCGGGCGCCAUGGCGCCCGCGGGCACCGUGUUGGCGACCACUGUGCUAUGAGCUAUCGCUGACCUGUGUGGUAGUUACAGAAUAAAGACUCUGGACGAGUCUCAGAAGAAACUCAUUCCAGCAAUGGCAUUUUCACUUCCUGGCGCGUGGGUGGAAUUAUCUCAGAGAAGUCGCGCUGAUUUUUUUUUAAUCCCCUGGAUCUUUUACAACUAAACACUUGACUCUGAAGAGUAGCCAAUUAAGGGGGACUUAUCUGCAUCCCAGUUUGCACUGAAUAGUGUGGGUCCAUAACCGUUAUUAGUGAUGUGCUCCUGUUGUGCUUGGGAACUUGUUAGCUGGAACUUCUGUAGAUUGCAAAGAUGCUAAAACAAAUCCCCUGUCCCUCUGUUGCAAUAUCUAGGUCACUUAUCAAACCAUGAUGAGGCUAAAUACACCGUAGGCCUUGGCCCCACAAGAGUUUGAAGUAUGCUACCUUCUAUAGCAAAGGUCAGAAACUGUUGUCAGGAGUGGAUAUGAGAGAUGAAAUAAUGCUAAAGAAUAACCAUUGUCUUCCUCAGUUGUCUCUGUUGCUGGGUGUGCAAGUGAUGAUAGGUGUGGAUGAAAACUGCAGCUGUGUUUGCAGAUGUUUUCAGUUGCAGAGCCUCAACUGCACUGAGCUGCGUUUGGAAUUGGCCUCCAGAGUCAUUAAUGGUCCCCUUUUUCCCUGCCAGCGCUGUUCACCCACAGUGUCCUUUGCCCAGUAGAAUAUCUGCAUCAAAAUACCGUGACUAAUCAGUAGGAUUGCUGGCCAUCUUGGUGCCUGCUUAAUGCAUAGCCUAGCCCUCAUUUCACCACGAUCUUAAUUUUAUCCUGGAAUGAGACUGUUCAUAUGCAAAAAGUUAUUCAUGUGCCGGGGUAGCUUGCUGAAUCGGGCUUUAACCAAGGCCAAACUGCCUGCUCUGUGGCGUGCGGGGCAGGCUUUGGUAUGGUAGUUUUCUGUUCCUUGUGUGUUGAGUGCUAGUGAGAGCUGUUGAACUGCCCUUUAGGAAACAGCCAUGGGAUGAAUUUUGUACAUUUCCUGGUACUAAACGCUAUUUUGGGAUGUUACGGGCAGGCCUGUGGGUGUCAGAACACAGCACAGUAGGUCUCAGAAAACUAGACCUGGCUGAUAGAGGCACAAAUCUCAUCUUCCUUAUAUGGAGCUACCUAGUGCAAGAGUGGUCUGCAGAUUGACUAGCUGUAUGGACAGAGAAGUAAAAUCCCCUUUUCCCUCAGCUUGCUGUAGCUCAGGAUUGACAGGGAUUUUAGCGAAUGAAAACCCAAGUGGGAAGGCUGUGGAGGAGAGUUUUUCUGCCCUUUAUUUUUCUGAGUAUUAGUCGGGUGUGAAGCCCCAAGUGCACACACUAUAGAGCCCUGCCUCCAGGCUGUCGCGUAUGUUGGGCUGUCACUCAAGGCUUGCAGUGUUAUUGCAGCCUGGCUGGAACAGGAGCUAGGAUCUCCUUUUUGGGGUAGGAGGAAGCAGGGAUUUCAUAGGAUGCUGCCUUGGUUGAAUGUCCUGUGAACUGUUGGAUUCCGACUUCUGCAAGCGAGAAGAAGAGCAGGGUUUCCCCAAGUCUGACUGGCUGGAAUGACUUUCGGAGAGAAUUAUUCUUAUGCAAACUGUUGGUCUUCCUCCUUAGCUAAUCACUGAAUGCGUGUAAUCUCUGUGUACAUCAUCGCAUAAAAUACCACCUCAGGCUGCACGAGCUUUAUAAGCUUGUCACAGAUUUCUAGAGCGCCAGAAGCGCUUCCUUAAGUCCAUGAAAAUCCACAUUGCUAUGACACAUGGGACAGCGGUUUACCAGCAGAGAGCGCAGAGGUGGUGCAGCGUUCCCCUAUUGAGGCUUGCUGAUGGCUGUAGUGUGAGGCCACUUACGGCAUGUUUGAGGUGGUGGAAGGGGCUGCGUGAGGCUAGAAAAUGGAAAGUUUCUUUGGGGGACAGCUCUGCUGCAGCGGCUUGUAUUGGGGUGGGGAAGCUUACGGUUUCGAUUUCCUUUGCAUCUGCUUGCGUUUGGAUCAAACCAAACAAUGCGUGGAUAACAGCUGUUGGACGUGCGCUUGUCUUCUAGCAUCUGUGGCUGCGUUGGGGGACGCAGGCUGCUUGGCAGCUUUAUACUGAAGAACAGGCGUGACGCGUUAAGAUGAUCUAAUUGAAGGACUCCCUAUUCCAUUAUAUAGUGGGCAACCUUACCCUUGCAGCUGCCAGGGCUCGUAUAACGGUUGCAGUCUUCUGUCCCUUCACCCAGGUGGGCAAGCGGAGAGGUGGCAACAAACUAGCCCUGAAGACAGGAGUGGUAGCAAAGAAGCAAAAGACCGAGGAGGAGGUUUUGACUAGUAAAGGAGAUGCCUGGGCCAAAUACAUGGCAGAAGUGAAAAAAUACAAAGCCCACCAGUGUAGUGAUGACGACAAAACAAGACCCCUUGUUAAAUAGCCCCUCUCUGCUGGCUCCCGUGAGGACGCUUUGUUGUACAUACUUAUUUAAAACAGCAAGGGAGGGUAGCUAGUCACUGCGAACUUAAAACAGCCGUUUCUAGCACUGGCUCCCAUGGAUGGUUCCACAGAUGAUUUUUAUAUACCCAGGCACACUGAAACUUUCAUUAGUCUGUCGUUUACUUAGUUUUGUUUUUUUUUGUUGAUUCCUUCUGGGAAAUACGGACUCUGAAUUAGUUGUAGCUUUUCUUUUUUUAAAGAAUCCGGAAUAGUGGAAUCCCUACAAUGUUGUAUAUUUCCCUGGCUGUUAAAACAAUCUAAUCACCAGCUCUUGCGUGUGAUACAACUCACUUCCACGUCCGUACACAACCAAGAACCUGUCUUACCACUGCUGCUCUUCCCUCUCUCCCACUGAGGACUCCAGCCGUCUCAGCAAGUUGAGCUGCGUACUAGCUAACUUCUUUGAGUAGAAACUGUAGGCGGUAGAUGGUGGGCGUCAAACUCCAUUAUUAAAGGUAAAUGUGGAAGUGGGUGCUGCAGUUACAUUUACUCAUUAAAGACCUUGGAUAUUUUUAAGCUGC